rnacentral:rRNA from 1 species
UUACGGGAGGCAGCAGUUGGGAAUAUUGCACAAUGGACGACAGUCUGAUGCAGCGACGCCGCGUGAAGGAAGAAGCCCCUCGGGGUGUAAACUUCUUUUGUAAGGGACGAUUGUGACGGUACCUUACGAAUAAGGGCCUGCUAACUACGUGCCAGCAGCAGCGGUAAUACGUAGGGCUCGAGCGUUAUCCGGAUUUAUUGGGCGUAAAGCGCAUGUAGGUGGUAAUUUAAGUCGGUUUUCAAAGUCCGAGGCUCAACUUCGGUUCUGGAACCGAUACUGAAUUACUUUGAGAAUAGCAGGGGCAAGCGGAAUUCCCGGUGUAGCAGUGAAAUGCGUUGAUAUCGGGAAGAACACCAAUGGCGAAGGCAGCUUGCUAGGCUAUUCUGACACUCAGAUGCGAAAGCGUGGGGAGCGAACGGGAUUAGAUACCCCGGU